GACGAACGCUGGCGGCGUGCCUAAUACAUGCAAGUCGAGCGGAUUGAUGGGAGCUUGCUCCCUGACAUCAGCGGCGGACGGGUGAGUAACACGUGGGCAACCUGCCUAUAAGACUGGGAUAACUUCGGGAAACCGGAGCUAAUACCGGAUAAUCCCUUUCCUCUCAUGAGGAAAGGCUGAAAGAUGGUUUACGCUAUCACUUAUAGAUGGGCCCGCGGCGCAUUAGCUAGUUGGUGAGGUAACGGCUCACCAAGGCAACGAUGCGUAGCCGACCUGAGAGGGUGAUCGGCCAAACUGGGACUGAGACACGGCCCAGACUCCUACGGGAGGCAGCAGUAGGGAAUCUUCCGCAAUGGACGAAAGUCUGACGGAGCAACGCCGCGUGAGUGAUGAAGGUUUUCGGAUCGUAAAACUCUGUUGUCAGGGAAGAACAAGUACGAGAGUAACUGCUCGUACCUUGACGGUACCUAACCAGAAAGCCACGGCUAACUACGUGCCAGCAGCCGCCGUAA
rnacentral:rRNA from 1 species